UUUCGGACCAGGCUUCAUUCC
rnacentral:miRNA from 3 species